GACGAACGCUGGCGGCGUGCUUAACACAUGCAAGUCGAACGGAAAUGCCCUGCUUUUGUGUGGUGCCACAGUGGCGAACUGGGUAGCAAACCGUGGGUAACCUGCCCUUGAAUUUGGGCUAACUCCAGGAAUCAGGCGUUAAUACCGGUUAGAAGAUCCUGCUGUAUGGUGGGGGUUGUAAAGUUUCGGCGGUUGGGGAUGGACUCGCGGCUUUUCAGCGUGUUGGUGGGGUUUUGGCUUACCAAGGCUUUGACGGGUAGCUGGCCUGCGAGGGUGACCGGCCACAGUGGGACUGAGAUACGGCCCGGACUCCUACGGGAGGCAGCGGUGGGGAAUAUUGCACGAUGGGCGGAAGCCUGGUACAGCAACGCCGCGUGCGGGAUGACGGCCUUCGGGUAGGAAACCGCUUUCGCCUGUGACGAAGCGUGAGUGACGGUAAUGGGUAAGGAAGCACCGGCUAACUACGUG
rnacentral:rRNA from 1 species